rnacentral:rRNA from 1 species
UGGAAGUAAAAGUCGUAACAAGGUUUCCGUAGGUGAACCUGCGGAAGGAUCAUUGUCGAAGCCUGCCCCGCAGAACGACCCGCGAACUAGUUUUGCCAUCGCAGGCCGGGGAGCGCCCGCCCCUCGGCCAGCCGCGGGGAGCGGCCCAGUUAGGGUCCCUCCCCUCGGCGCACGAACAAAACCCCGGCGCGGGACGCGCCAAGGACCAUGAGAACAAAGAGAGCGCCCCGUCGGCCCCGGGAACGGGGCGCGGGGGGGCGUCUUCUUUCGGUAUGAGCCAAAAAAA